rnacentral:rRNA from 1 species
GGAAUUUUGGACAAUGGGCGCAAGCCUGAUCCAGCAAUGCCGCGUGAGUGAAGAAGGCCUUCGGGUUGUAAAGCUCUUUUGUCAGGGAAGAAACGGACUUUUCUAAUACAGAGGUCUAAUGACGGUACCUGAAGAAUAAGCACCGGCUAACUACGUGCCAGCAGCCGCGGUAAUACGUAGGGUGCAAGCGUUAAUCGGAAUUACUGGGCGUAAAGCGUGCGCAGGCGGUUUUGUAAGACUGUCGUGAAAUCCCCGGGCUCAACCUGGGAAUGGCGAUGGUGACUGCAAGGCUAGAGUUUGGCAGAGGGGGGUAGAAUUCCACGUGUAGCAGUGAAAUGCGUAGAUAUGUGGAGGAACACCGAUGGCGAAGGCAGCCCCCUGGGUCAAAACUGACGCUCAUGCACGAAAGCGUGGGGAGCAAACAGGAUUAGAUACCCGAG